rnacentral:ncRNA from 1 species
CACGUGGCCGAUUCUUUGAGACCGCUUUGACUGGUCGAAAACAGAACCAACGCAGUCUCAGAGGCCACAAAAGUGGAAACAAUCUUUAAGUCCGGAAGUAGUCCGAAUCUAUGAAAAUGGAAAGACAAUUCUGAAUCUUCAAGUCCGUGUGCAUUCCCCAAUAUUUACGACCGGAGAAAAUAUCAAAUCUUUCAGGCAACUGCUUCAAUCUUUUAGCUUGGAAUAAUAAAGUAGGAUGAUGUACCUAUUUCGUUGGUCCCUGGUAACAUCGUAAUGACUAUUGGAGACGGCCGGGAUAUUAGUAUUCACUUGCGAGAGGUGGAAUUCUUACAUUUUCUGAAGACUAACUAAGGUGAAAGCAUUUUUAAGAACAUUUUCUCAAAUCAAGAACGAAAGUUAGGGCAUCGAAGUUGAUCGUAGCCUUCACCAUAAACUAUGCCGACUAAGGUUUAGGCGGCGCCUCACGUAAAUGACGCGCACAGCGCCUUGCGAGAAAUCAAAGCUUUUCUAUUCUGGGGGAUAUAUGGUUGCAAGGCUCAAUAUUAAAGGAAUUGACGGCAGGACACUCUCUUUUCAAAGUGCUUUCCAUCUCUCCAUCACUG